AUUGAACGCUGGCGGCAUGCUUUACACAUGCAAGUCGAACGGUAACAGGCCUUCGGAUGCUGACGAGUGGCGAACGGGUGAGUAAUACAUCGGAACGUGCCUAGUAGUGGGGGAUAACUACUCGAAAGAGUAGCUAAUACCGCAUGAGAUCUACGGAUGAAAGCAGGGGACCUUCGGGCCUUGUGCUACUAGAGCGGCUGAUGGCAGAUUAGGUAGUUGGUGGGGUAAAGGCUUACCAAGCCUGCGAUCUGUAGCUGGUCUGAGAGGACGACCAGCCACACUGGGACUGAGACACGGCCCAGACUCCUACGGGAGGCAGCAGUGGGGAAUUUUGGACAAUGGGCGAAAGCCUGAUCCAGCAAUGCCGCGUGCAGGAUGAAGGCCCUCGGGUUGUAAACUGCUUUUGUACGGAACGAAAAGCCUGGGGCUAAUAUCCCCGGGUCAUGACGGUACCGUAAGAAUAAGCACCGGCUAACUACGUG
rnacentral:rRNA from 1 species